CCAGACUCCUACGGGAGGCAGCAGUGGGGGAUAUUGCACAAUGGGGGAAACCCUGAUGCAGCGACGCCGCGUGUGGGAAGACGGUCCUCUGGAUUGUAAACCACUGUCCCCAGGGACGAAGAUGACGGUACCUGGGGAGGAAGCCCCGGCUAACUACGUGCCAGCAGCCGCGGUAAUACGUAGGGGGCAAGCGUUAUCCGGAUUCACUGGGUGUAAAGGGAGCGUAGACGGCGACGCAAGUCUGGAGUGAAAGCCCGGGGCUCAACCCCGGGACUGCAUUUGGAACUGUGCUGCUAGAGUGUCGGAGAGGCAGGCGGAAUUCCUAGUGUAGCGGUGAAAUGCGUAGAUAUUAGGAGGAACACCAGUGGCGAAGGCGGCCUGCUGGACGAUGACUGACGUUGAGGCUCGAAAGCGUGGGGAGCAAACAGGAUUAGAUACCCUCGUACA
rnacentral:rRNA from 1 species